AUGAACGCUAGCGGCAGGCUUAAUACAUGCAAGUCGAGGGGCAGCGCGGGUAGCAAUACCUGGCGGCGACCGGCAAACGGGUGCGGAACACGUACGCAACCUUCCCAUAACAGGUGAAUAGCCUUCCGAAAGGGAGAUUAAUACACCGUAACAUAACGAAGUGGCAUCACUUUGUUCUUAUAGGCUUCGGCCGGUUUUGGAUGGGCGUGCGACUGAUUAGGUAGUUGGCGGGGUAACGGCCCACCAAGCCUGCGAUCAGUAACUGGUGUGAGAGCACGACCAGUCACACGGGCACUGAGACACGGGCCCGACUCCUACGGGAGGCAGCAGUAAGGAAUAUUGGUCAAUGGACGAAAGUCUGAACCAGCCAUGCCGCGUGAAGGAUGAAGGCCCUCUGGGUUGUAAACUUCUUUUAUCUGGGACGAAAAAAGGGAAUUCUUUCCCACUUGACGGUACCAGAGGAAUAAGCACCGGCUAACUCCGUGCCAGCAGCCGCGGUAAUACGGAGGGUGCAAGCGUUAUCCGGAUUCACUGGGUUUAAAGGGAGCGUAGGUGGGUCUGUAAGUCAGUGGUGAAAUCUCCGAGCUUAACUCGGAAACUGCCAUUGAUACUAUAGGUCUUGAAUUAUCUGGAGGUAAGCGGAAUAUGUCAUGUAGCGGUGAAAUGCUUAGAUAUGACAUAGAACACCAAUUGCGAAGGCAGCUUGCUACGGAUAUAUUGACACUGAGGCUCGAAAGCGUGGGGAUCAAACAGGAUUAGAUACCCUGGUAGUCCACGCCCUAAACGAUGGAUACUCGACAUCAGCGAUACACUGUUGGUGUCUGAGCGAAAGCAUUAAGUAUCCCACCUGGGAAAGUACGACCGCAAGGUUGAAACUCAAAGGAAUUGACGGGGGUCCGCACAAG
rnacentral:rRNA from 1 species